CUUGUUUUUUGACUCCAGGAGCUUAAAUGUAAGUACAAAUGGUCAAUAUUCUAGUAAUUUCACAUGUUUUCAGUAAUUCGAAACUAAGUUACCUGAAUUUUAGUCAACAACAACAACAUGCUCAGUGAGAUGUAAACAAAUGUACUUCCUGCUUAAAGCAGCCGGCAUUUGACAGAUUUCAACGGUGGGUUUAAAUAAGUUAGCAGUGCAAAAAAGUUCAAUGGUUGGGACUGAAGGCCUUGUUUUGAGGGUGUUUUGCAGACCAGUGGUUGUCGGCCUGGGGAUUUUCAAGAAAAACCGUAGACUGCCCCCUUAAGGUUGGGACUGAAGGCCUUGUUUUGAGGGUGUUUUGCAGACCAGUGGUUGUCGGCCUGGGGAUUUUCAAGAAAAACCGUAGACUGCCCCCUUAAGGUUGGGACUGAAGGCCUUGUUUUGAGGGUGUUUUGCAGACCAGUGGUUGUCGGCCUGGGGAUUUUCAAGAAAAACCGUAGACUGCCCCCUUAAGGUUGGGACUGAAGGCCUUGUUUUGAGGGUGUUUUGCAGACCAGUGGUUGUCGGCCUGGGGAUUUUCAAGAAAAACCGUAGACUGCCCCCUUAAGGUUGGGACUGAAGGCCUUGUUUUGAGGGUGUUUUGCAGACCAGUGGUUGUCGGCCUGGGGAUUUUCAAGAAAAACCGUAGACUGCCCCCUUAAGGUUGGGACUGAAGGCCUUGUUUUGAGGGUGUUUUGCAGGCCAGUGGUUGUCGGCCUGGGGAUUUUCAAGAAAAAA